rnacentral:rRNA from 1 species
UACGGAGGAUCCAAGCGUUAUCCGGAAUCAUUGGGUUUAAAGGGUCCGUAGGCGGUUUGGUAAGUCAGUGGUGAAAGCCCAUCGCUCAACGGUGGAACGGCCAUUGAUACUGCCAGACUUGAAUUAUUAGGAAGUAACUAGAGUAUGUAGUGUAGCGGUGAAAUGCUUAGAGAUUACAUGGAAUACCAAUUGCGAAGGCAGGUUACUACUAGUGGAUUGACGCUGAUGGACGAAAGCGUGGGUAGCGAACAGG